GGUUAAGAGGUGUUUGUGGAAAAUAUAUACUUAAUCUGCAUGAUACGAGAUAAUCAGGCUUCCUGGCAUGGCUGAGGAUGGUAAAACUCUCAAACUCAAGCAACAAACAGAUUUAUUUAUAUGCCAGUGAGAUAACCGGUACAAGGUGCCACUGAUAGCAGGAAUACAUGGACUCAAAAGAAGCCUCAGGAAAAUAACCAACAUCACUCUCAAGCUUUCAAAUUGAAGAGUGAGCUCAAGACUCAGGAUCAAAUCUUGCACUCAUAACUGGAACAGCUAAAAUGGAAGAGAAAAAAAAAUGUUAAAUUGUCCAACCAUCAUUCUCACCUUUGGUCCAAAGGAGCCUUGAUGUCCAGGAAGUCCUGUCACACCAGUUCUACCCAGGUACCCAGGUUUGCCUGGCAGUCCAUCCAUGCCAGGAGGGCCCUCAAGUCCUUCCCUGCCCACAACUCCCCAUGGGCCAGGAGGACCCUGUGGACCCUUAGAAAAGAUAAUACUUAAUAAUUAUGUCAGAGAUUACACUAGUCUUGAAUAAUACAGAAUUGCGUGAUUGCUGUGAUUUAUGUAAAAAGCAUCCAACUCACUGGUGGUCCUUUGGUCCCAGAUUUGCCUCUUGCCCCUGAUUUUCCUUUCUGACCCUGGAAUAUGAAGAGUUCAUGUUCCUCAGUUCUAAAAUGGUUGCAUGGCAGAAAAUACAGCCCAAUAAUACUUCAUGAAGAAAUUUAGAUUUACUUAAAAAAAAAAAAAAAAAAAAAUAUGACACUAUUAUUUGUG